GCCCCGGACUCCUACGGGAGGCAGCAGUAAGGGAUCUUCCGCCAUGGAAGAAAGCUUGACGGGAGCAACCCCGCGGGAGUGAUGAAGGUUUUCGGAUCGUAAAGCUUUGGUUGUUAGGGAAGAACAAGUGCGAAGAUUAACUGCUUCGCACCUUUGACGGUACCUAACAGAAAGCCACGGCUAACUACGUGCCAGCAGCCGCGUAAUACGUAGUUGGCAAGCGUUGUCCGAAAUUAUUGGGCGUAAAGGGCUCGCAGGCGGUUUCUUAAGUCUUGAUGUGAAAGCCCCCGGGCUCCAACCGGGGAGGGUCAUUGGAAACUGGGAAACUUGAGUGCAGAAGAGGAGAGUGGAUUCCACGUGUUAGCGGUGAAAUGCGUAGAGAUGUGGAGGAACACCAGUGGCGAAGGCGACUCUCUGGUCUGUAACUGACGCUGAGGAGCGAAAGCGUUGGGGAGGCGAACAGGAUUAGAUACCCUGGUAGUCCACGCCGUAAACGAUGAGUGCCUAAGUGUUAGGGGGUUUCCGCCCCUUAGUGCUGCAGCUAACGCAUUAAGCACUCCGCCUGGGGAGUACGGUCGCAAGACUGAAACUCAAAGGAAUUGACGGGGGCCCGCACAAGCGGUGGAGCAUGUGGUUUAAUUCGAAGCAACGCGAAGAACCUUACCAGGUCUUGACAUCCUCUGACAACCCUAGAGAUAGGGCUUUUCCUUCGGGGACAGAGUGACAGGUGGUGCAUGGUUGUCGUCAGCUCGUGUCGUGAGAUGUUGGGUUAAGUCCCGCAACGAGCGCAACCCUUGAUCUUAGUUGCCAGCAUUCAGUUGGGCACUCUAAGGUGACUGCCGGUGACAAACCGGAGGAAGGUGGGGAUGACGUCAAAUCAUCAUGCCCCUUAUGACCU
rnacentral:rRNA from 1 species